AGAGAUUUCCCCUUCUCUGUUUCAGAUAUGAUCCCAGGGGACUGCUAUUGUCAUCUUGACCCUGUAAAGACAGUGAGGCUGAGGACAAGGCCCCCCGACCAAGAGGGCAGCGCUAAGAGAAGGAGACAGAGCCAGAUACUGCAGUGUCUACAACCACGCUUGGAGACACAUCAUUGUGUUCUGUCACACCAACCAGCCUGCACCAGAGACACAGGAAUCUUGAUCUUCUGGCAGAAAACUCUUCCAAAACAUUCCUAUGUGACACUGCUCAUGUAUAGGUGCUCCAAACCAAAUGUCCAGUUGCUUCCACCAUUGUGCAAAAAUGGGAGACCCUGCCGAGCAGCAGAUGGCCCUCAGCACGGCUGACACUCAGGCCAGGCCCCAGGUGGCAGCUCUCAGAACACACUGUCCAGCUAAACCCUGCACAGACUGGCCGUUGAAAAUACCUGGUGUUCACAUUCCCCAAAAGUUGGGCAAAUGACAGGGUCACCCAGUGCACUUCAUGGGGUCAGUGGGGAGAACCAGCAUUUCAGCACAAGUUCACAAAUCACUGGGUCCCCCUUGUCAAACACUGCAAAUAUGUAGCAUGCUAAGAAAAAUCUCCUUACCUCUCAGACUCUGUAUCACUCAGUUCAUCUGAGUUGCUACAAUGGACAAUAAAAUCUAAUAAGUUAAAAUGAGGUAUGGAAUGCUCAGGAGAAAAACAACAAGGACUAGUACUCCUCAUCUGAGUAAAUAAUUUCUCUCACAGGGUUAAUUUUAGCUUUGCAAGUUUUUUAUUUGAGAUUAUAUUUUAAAUCACAAUUUGUGCACGUGUGAUUUAAAAUAAAAAAGGCAAUCAAGUCUUUCUGCCAGUCUAGGUGAUGUGAAAUUUAAUUAUCGAGCAGUUAUCAUUAAAAUAAACGCAAAGCAAUUUUUUAGACAUAAUUGAAUAUUCCAGAAGAAAAUUUCUGAAAAAUCCAAAGGUCCAAAAGAAAACUUCUCAGUGAGAAUGUCUGUUUCAGUAAGAUACCCUGUUUUGUAGUAUUGGAUGCAGAGAAUUUCUAGUUAGACAUACAUAAGUCUUGCCAGAAUUACUAUAGUUCAGUUUUGCCACCUGCAUCUAGAAAUAUGGAAGACUUAUCUACGUUACUGGUUUUGACUCCCCAAUAAUGAGUAAUGAAAAUUCCUAUUUAUCAUUUCUACAUCAACAUCAGUGUGAUAGCAGAAAACAGCAUGAUUUACCUGGCCCACAAUACUGUUGUAUAGAAUUUAAAGAAAUAAAUACCUCAAUCCAUUCAGGAAUGUUCUUUUCCCAAAAAAAAAAAAAAA
rnacentral:lncRNA from 1 species